AUUGAACGCUGGCGGCAUGCCUUACACAUGCAAGUCGAACGGCAGCACGGGUGCUUGCACCUGGUGGCGAGUGGCGAACGGGUGAGUAAUACAUCGGAACAUGUCCUGUAGUGGGGAUAGCCCGGCGAAAGCCGGAUUAAUACCGCAUACGAUCUACGGAUGAAAGCGGGGGACCUUCGGGCCUCGCGCUAUAGGGGUAGCCGAUGGCUGAUUAGCUAGUUGGUGGGGUAAAGGCCUACCAAGGCGACGAUCAGUAGCUGGUCUGAGAGGACGACCAGCCACACUGGGACUGAGACACGGCCCAGACUCCUACGGGAGGCAGCAGUGGGGAAUUUUGGACAAUGGGCGAAAGCCUGAUCCAGCAAUGCCGCGUGUGUGAAGAAGGCCUUCGGGUUGUAAAGCACUUUUGUCCGGAAAGAAAUCCUUGGCCCUAAUACGGUCGGGGGAUGACGGUACCGGAAGAAUAAGCACCGGCUAACUACGUG
rnacentral:rRNA from 1 species